AAAUAGCACCCAGGGACGAGGCCGCGCGGCCGCGUCUGAACCGCAGCCCGGGUUCACAGGCGCCCCCCGCCGCCCGGGCCGCGGGCGCACCCCAAAAAAAAAAAAAAAAAAAAAAAAAAAAAAAAAAAAAAAACCCACCCAGUCUAUGGUAUUUUGUUAUGGAACCCCAAGCUAAGACACCAUCACAGAAAAUGGUCACUCAAUCC
rnacentral:lncRNA from 1 species